CCUACGGGGCGCAGCAGUGGGGAAUAUUGGGCAAUGGGCGAAAGCCUGACCCAGCAAUGCCGCGUGAAUGAAGAAGGUCUUAGGAUUGUAAAAUUCUGUCCUAUGGGAAGAAACAAAUGACGGUACCUGAAGAAGAAGCCCCGGCUAACUACGUGCCAGCAGCCGCGGUAAUACGUAGGGGGCAAGCGUUAUCCGGAUUUACUGGGUGUAAAGGGGGCGCAGACGGCGAUGCAAGCCAGGAGUGAAAGCCCGGGGCCCAACCCCGGGACUGCUCUUGGAACUGCGUGGCUAGAGUGCAGGAGGGG
rnacentral:rRNA from 1 species